UACGUAGAGCGCAAGCGUUGUCCGGAAUUAUUGGGCGUAAAGAGCUCGUAGGCGGCUUGUCACGUCGGGUGUGAAAGCCCGGGGCUUAACCCCGGGUCUGCAUUCGAUACGGGCUAGCUAGAGUGUGGUAGGGGAGAUCGGAAUUCCUGGUGUAGCGGUGAAAUGCGCAGAUAUCAGGAGGAACACCGGUGGCGAAGGCGGAUCUCUGGGCCAUUACUGACGCUGAGGAGCGAAAGCGUGGGGAGCGAACAGG
rnacentral:rRNA from 1 species